CCCCGGACCUCCAGGAUCAUCCUCCUCACCUGGAGCCUACAGGCCAUCACAGACCAUCAGCAUCCCUGGACCUCCGGGUCCUCCUGGCCCACCUGGGACUGAUGGACACUCCUCUGGGGUGAUGGUGCUGAGGUCAUAUGA